rnacentral:rRNA from 1 species
CGGCAACAGCUCAAAUUUGAAAUCUGGCUCUUUCAGGGUCCGAGUUGUAAUUUGUAGAAGAUGCCUCGGGUGUGGUCCCAGUCUAAGUUCCAUGGAACUGGACAUCACAGAGGGUGAGAAUCCCGUAUGUGACUGGGUACCUACGUCCAUGUGAAACUCUUUCGAC